UGAGUACGAGACGCUAAGGCGUCGAAGUAGUGUAUGUCAUACUUCCAAGAAAAGCUUGCACUGUCAUUCAUAAAAAAUGCCUGUACCAUAACCGACACAGGUGGGUAGGUAGAGUAUACUAAGGGGCGCGAGAUAACUCUCUCUAAGGAACUCGGCAAAAUAACUCCGUAACUUCGGGAGAAGGAGUGCCUUAUUUAUAUAAGGUUGCAAUAACAAGAUCCAAGCAACUGUUUACCAAAAACACAGGUCUCCGCUAAGUCGUAAGACGAUGUAUGGGGGCUGACGCCUGCCCAGUGCCAGAAGGUUAAAGAAGUUGGUUAGCAAUAGCGAAGCUGAUAACUGAAGCCCUGGUGAACGGCGGCCGUAACGAUAACGGUCCUAAGGUAGCGAAAUUCCUUGUCGGGUAAGUUCCGACCCGCACGAAAGGCGUAAUGAUUUGGAUACUGUCUCGGAGAGGGACUUGGUGAAAUAGACUUGUCUGUGAAGAUGCGGACUACCUGCACCUGGACAGAGAGACCCUAUGAAGCUUUACUGUAACUUGAAAUUGAAAUUGGACUUUAUUCGCGCAGUAUAGGUGGGAGGCGUUGAAAAUAAUCUUGCGGGACUAUUGGAGCCAUCAGUGAGAUACCACUCUUAUAAUGUUAGAUUUCUAACUUUGAAUCAUUAUCUGGUCAAAGAACAGUUUCAGGCGGGCAGUUUGACUGGGGCGGUCGCCUCCCAAACGGUAACGGAGGCGUACAAAGGUUUCCUCUGAACGGGUAGAAAUCGUAUCUAGAGUAUAAAGGCAAAAGGAAGCUUGACUGUGAGACCUACAAGUCGAGCAGGGACGAAAGUCGGUCUUAGUGAUCUGACGGUACUGAGUGGAAAGGCCGUCACUCAACGGAUAAAAGUUACUCUAAGGAUAACAGGCUGAUCUCCCCCAAGAGUUCACAUCGACGGGGAGGUUUGGCACCUCGAUGUCGGCUCAUCGCAUCCUGGGGCGGUAGUACGUCCCAAGGGUUGGGCUGUUCGCCCAUGAAAGCGGUACGCGAGCUGGGUUCAGAACGUCGUGAGACAGUUCGGUCCAUAUCCGGUGUAGGCGUUAGAAUAUUGAGAGGAGCCUUCUUUAGUACGAGAGGACCGAGAAGGACAUACCUCUGGUGUACCAGUUAUCGUGCCAACGGUAAACGCUGGGUAGCUAUGUAUGGAGUGGAUAACCGCUGAAAGCAUCUAAGUGGGAAGCCCACCUCAAGAUGAGUAUUCCC
rnacentral:rRNA from 1 species